GGUAAUGUAGCCUCGUGGUUAGGGGCUGCAUUCUAGAGCUAUGCUGCCCAGGUUCAAAUUCUGGUGCCACUC
rnacentral:tRNA from 1 species